CCUGUCCGCUUCAACCCCCCACACCCGACCCCACACGCAUAAACGCGGACACAGUUUAUAUAUUCUAAGGGAGAGCUGACAUUUAUAAUCUGGGAUUAUAAAUCCACACAAUUUUUGAGUGAAAAAUGGAGUUCAUAACAGAAGAUAUGAUCCUGCAGUUUCAGACUCUGUUAGAAAAAGUUGACGAACCACUGAAGCGGUCUUUCCAGAAUAUACAUCAAGGUUACCCAACUGAGAAUUUGGUGAGGUUUCUCAAAGCAAGAUAUGGGAAUGUAUCCGAAGCCCAUAAAAUGGUUUGAAGAUUCCGAUGCUAACAAUUUUUUUCCCUUUAUUUAUUU